rnacentral:lncRNA from 1 species
GCCAGGCUGGUCUCGAACUCUCUACUUCAGGUGAUUGGCCUGCCUGGCAAUGGCUCACACCUGUAAUCCCAGCAUUUUGGGAGGCUGUUUCUUAUUUUAUUAGUCAAGUGCAGACACUAAAUAACUUAGGUAUGUUACAGCUACAACACAGAUAUCCUGUUUUUCAUGCUCUGUUAGUUCUACUCCCUCUAAUUAGAAACCAUUCCCCUUUGGUGCACUAGAAUUAGAGCAGGGAGCCGAGCACAAGCUGUACUGCUACAAAUGUCAAUAGCAACUGCUCUAGUUCUGGGUGAAAUACAUCUUCUAAUUAUGCUUUUGAUACUGGAGUAGAAUUGAAUGAUACAAAAGAUUAGUUUGGAACUGAAGAGUUACAAGAGUUGAUUCAGAAGAAACGAGUGCUUGUGUGUGUGGUCACUGAGCUGUGAGAGGACCUAGCAUCCCACUUGUAACUCUUCAGUUCAAAACUAAUCUUGGUCUCAGGGGUUCUACAGCAGGAAUUAGUAGGCAUGAAUCUAUUGUGUUGACACUUCCAUCACUUAAGUCUUCAUUGUAGCUUCCAGUAAAACAGGAAUAAUAAUGGACCCUAAAAAUCAAAGCAACUGUUUUGAUGUGAGUUAAUCUGGUGAUAUUAAAACAGAUUCCUGUGUAUGGCUAGAUGUUGGUACUAAUGAGGUCAAUGUGUGGUCUCCACAUUUUCUACAAUGGUAGACCCGUUGUCUCCAUGCUGAAAGCAACUGGUUCUGUAGUUUUGAGCUGUCCCACAAUUAUAAGCCACUAUUGCCAGCGGCAUCAGGUGAAUGUCUGUUGAUGGCUUAAUACCUCUCACCUUUAUUAGAGAUUUUUAGUUGAGCUAAAUUAAAUGCCCAACUGGCUAUGAGACUCUUCCAGAUAGAAGGCUGGAAACCUCAUGAUCUGAUCUGAAUAAGGUUCCUGUAUUCCCACAACCCAGAAGACCUCUCCUCUAAUUCCCUCUCCCUUUUCUCACUCCUAGGAUAGAGGCACUCUCCAUUCCUGAUUGUUCCAAGGCUCAAGUGGUCAGAAAUGACUGGGAAGAAGGGAGAAAAACUCAGGUGGCAAAGGACAUGGACGAAAACCCAUGGCGACAUGGAAAGAAAACCCUGUGAUAUAGAGAGGAAAAGCACAGGACAGCUUAUUGGGGAGAAUGGAACUCUUCUGUAUCCUGAUUGCGGUGAUGGCCACGCAUGGCUUAGAGACGGGCUUUCACCACGUUGACUAAGCUAGUCUUGAACUCGUGACCUCAGGUGAUCCACCUGCCUCAGCCUCGCUAAGUCUAAGUAUGCUAUUUUAGAAAUCUGGUUGUAUAAUCUUGGGUAGUUUCUACUUCUAACACUGAUGUUGAGCAAACCCAGUAUUCAGGAACCACUUGGUACAAGUUAAUUUUUUUUUUUUUUUUUUUUUUAGACGGAGUCUCACUUUGUCGCCAGGCUGGAGUGCAGCCAUGCUAUCAAGGCUCACUGCAAUCUCCGCCUCCCAGGUUCAAGUGAUUCCCCUGCCUCAGUCUCCCGAGUAGCUGGGACUACAGGCGCGUAACACCAUGCCCAGCUAAUUUUUUUGUAUUUUAGAAGAACAGGUUUUAACCAUGUUGGCCAGGAUGGUCUGGAUCUCCUGACCUCGUGAUCUGCCCUCCUCGGCCUCCCAAAGUGCUGGGAUUAAAGGCAUGAGCCAAUGCACCCAGCCCAAGUUAAUAUUAUUGAUCAACCACCUUCCUUAGCCCAGGAACUACGUCUUUUAGUCCAUUUGUUCUUUCUGUGAAUUAGCUUCCCUCCAGACUUACCACAUUUGACUUGUUCGCUUUCUUUGUUCCUAUCUUCUCAAAUGAGAUGGCCUAUAUUACUUAUUUAAUUUAUUUAUUUCGAGACAGAGUCUUGCUUUGUUGCCCAGGCUGGAGUGCAAUGAUGCAAUCUCAACUCACUACAACCUCUGCCUCCUAGGUUCAAGCAAUUCUCCUGCGUCAGCCUCCCAAGUAACUGGGAUUACAGGCGCCUGCCACCGUGCCCAGCUAAUUUUUUGGUUUUUUUUAGUAGAGAUGGGGUUUCGCCAUGUUGGCCAGGUUGGUCUCGAACUCCUGACCUCAGGUGAUCCACCCGUGUUGGCUUCCCAAAGUGCUGGGAUUACAGGCAUGAGCCACUGUGCCCCGCCUGCUUAUUUUUAUUAAGUUACAAGUUCUUCCAUCUUCUUUGUCAUCAUCCUUAUCUGGGUGGGUCACAAUUCAUAUUUUGCUCUUGGUAACACACAUUUUUUUUUUCUUGGUAGAAAUAGGUCUUGUCUUGAACUCCUGACCUCAAGCAAUCCUCUUGCCUUGGCUUCCUAAAGUGCUGGUAUUACAGGUGUAAGCCACCGUGCCUGGGGUAUUUUUAAUAUGAUGUAACAGUUCAGAAAAAUGUCAUCUCCCCUUCUUUCACAUGUCAUGUAUAAGUCCUUGCAAUCCAUUACCCAGAUUUACUCUGUAUUCCCAAUUUUGAGAAAUCAUAAAUGCAUCAUCUAUCUCAAAUAGUGAGUUAUCUAUCUCAAAUAGUGGGCUUUUCCUCAAAAUGAGUUCUUUUUCAGUGCAGCUUUUAGCUUAUUAAAUUACCUGUCUAAAAGUGACUGCAAAGAAAUAUAAAGGAUCCACUGGUAAUUUCUUUUUAUUAAAAAAGAAUACUUUUUAUAUUUCCUUUUAAAAUAGCUUUCAACCAGAAUUGUCUAGGAGAGGCAAAGAUAUAACCUGUUCAUCUGGUACCACUAUCACCCACAGAAUAUGAUAUGAGUUCUGAGCUUUUCCGAUUAAAGACCUUGUACUUUUGUUCUUUUAUUUAUUUAUUUAAUUUUAUUUAAUUAAUUAAUUUUUUUGAGUCAGAGUCUUGGUCUGUCACCCAGGCUGGAGUGCAGUGGCAUGAUUGUGGCUCACUGCAACCUCUGCCUCCUGGGCUCAAGUGAUUCUCAUGUCUCAGCCUCCCCAGUAGCUGGGACUACAGGCAUGCACCACCAAGCCUGGCUAAUUUUUGUAUUUUUGGUAAAGAUGGGGUCUUGCUGUAUUGCCCAGGGUAGUCUCAAACUCCUGACCUCAAGUGAUCCACCCACCAUGGACUCCCAAAGUGUCAAUUGCAGGCGUGAGCCACUGUGCCCAGCAGGAAUUUGUCUAAUAUUCUUCUCAUGAUAGACUGGGCUUAGGGGUUUGGGGAGGAUGAUCACAGAGGUAAAGUGCCAUUCUCAGCACAUCAUGCCAAGGGUACAUUGUUAAUACUGGGCUUGAUCACCUGACUGAAGGGUAUUUGUCAGAUUGCACCACUGUAAGUUCUUUUUUUUUUUUUUUUUUUGAGACAGGGGGUCUUGCUCUGUUGCCCAAGCUGGAGGGCAAUGGUGCGAUCACAGUUCACUGCAAUCUCAAUCUCCUGAACUCAAGCAAUCCUUCCACCUCAGCCUCCCCAGGCUGGUCUUGCACUUCUGGCCUCAAGCAAUCCUCCCUCCUUGAGGUGUACUGAGCCAGCUUAAGGGUACAGCUAGGAAAAAUCCAAGGCACAGAUGCAUCUGGCUGCUUUUUCCAAAGAGGUUCGCAGGAAGUUCAGUAUUUAUACAUUUUUCUUAAAUCAAGGGGGUGGCAGUGAGCAAAUAGUUACCUACUUGUGACACUUUAGUUGGUGCUCAGUAAAUCUACAGUUUACAUAAGAUAAGGUAAACCUUUGAAGAAAAGGGGCAUGAGGCUGGGCACGGUGGCUCACGCCUGUAAUCCUAGCACUUUGGGAGGUUGAGGUGGACGGGUCAUGUGGAGACAGGAGUUCGAGACCAGCCUGGCCAACAUGGUGAAACCCCGUCUCUACGAAAAAUACAAAAAAUAGCCGAGUAUGGUGGAAGGCGUCUGUAAUCCCAGCUACUUGGGAAGCUGAGGCAGGAGAAUCACUUGAAGCCAGGAGGCAGAGGUUGCAGUGAGCUGAGAUUGCACCACUGCACUCCAGCCUGGGCAACAGAGUGAAACUCCAUCUCAAAAAAAAAAAAAAAAAAGUGGACCUGAAGCUACAUCUUUCUACUACUAAAAACCUAACACGAGCAAUUUAGUUUCAGCAAACAACACCAUCUGUCUCUCAGUUGGCUCCUGUGCCCCUUUGAAAUACUCUUAUGGAAGCAGAUUUUGUUUUGUUUUGUUUUUUAGUACUUCCUUACUUUCUUAACCUAUACAGUUUUGUUUAUUUGUUUGUUUAAAGAUAGGGUCUGGCUCUGUUACCCAGUCUGUAGUGCAGUGGCAUAAUCACAGCUCACUGCAAACAUGACCUCCUGGACUCAAGUGAUCCUCCCAUUUCAGCCUCCAGAGUAGCUGGGACUACAGGCAUGCACCACCAUACCCAGCUGCUAUUUUGUUGUAUUUAUUUUUCAUAGAGACAGGGUUUUGCUCUGUUGCCCAGGCUGGUCUUGAACUCCUGGCCUCAAGUAACCCUUCUAUCCCCAUCUUCCAAAGUGCUGGGAUUACAGGCAUGAGCCACUGUACCCGGCCAUCACGUCAGCCACUUCUUUAAAGAGACUCGCACUUUUGUAAGCUCAAAAUAGCUGUUUUGUUUUGUUUUUUUCUUUUCUGAGACAGAGCCUUACUCUGUUGCCCAUGCUGGAGUGGCAAGAUCUCAACUCACUGAAACCUCUGCCUCUGAGGUUCAAGUGAUUCUCCUGCCUCAGCCUCCUGAGUAGCUGGGAUUACAGGCACACACCACCAGCCCAGGCUUAUUUUUGUAUUUUUAGUAGAGAUAGGGUCUGACCAUAUUGGCCAGGCUGGUCUCAAGGUCCUGGCCUCGAGCAAUCCACCCGCCUCGGACUCCGAAAGUGCUGGGAUUACAGGCUAAGCCAUCACGCCCAGCCUCAAAAUAGCUCCUUAAUGAGCCACUCCAAACGUUAAAACUGUUGUACAGUAUCUAGGGGUAUCCCAAAAUAAAAGGUAGAAAAAUGUUUAAUACAUGACAUAACUGGCCGGGCUUGGUGGCUCACGCCUGUAAUCUCAACUCUUUGGGAGGCUGAGGCGGGUGGAUCACUUGAGGUCAGGAGUUCAAGACCAGCCUGGCCAAUAUGGUGAAACCUUGUCUCUACUAAAAAUACAAAAAAAUUCGCUGGGUGUAUUGGCAUGUGCCUGUAGUUCCAGCUACUCGGGAGUCUGAGGCAUGAGAAUGGCUUGAACCGGGGAGGCGGAGGUUGCAGUGAGCAGAGAUCACACCACUGCACUCCAGCCCGGGCAACGGAGGGAGACUCUGUCUCAAAAAUAUAUAUACACACACACACAAAAUAAUUAUUUGCAUUUUCAUAAAGAUCAAAAUCAGAGAAGUACAAAUAGCUGACUACAAAAUAGCAUAUAUAUUAUAUGUUCUGAUACGUAUAAAAAUAUAUUUAAUCAUAUUCAUAGAAAUAAAUUGUGAGUUAUGUACAUCAACCCAAACAUGAUUCUCUAUUUCUGUAAUAGAGGUAGUUUUUACAAAAAGCAUGUAUUUCUUUCUUUCUUUUUUUUUUUUUUUGAGAUGGAGUCUUGCUCUAUUGUCAGGCUGGAGUGCAGUGGCAUGAUCUCGGUUCACUGCAAUCUCCACCUUGUGAAUUCAAGUGAUUCUCCUGCCUCAGCCUCCUGAGUAGCUGGGAUUUCAGGCAUGCAGCACUAUGCCCAGCUAAUUUUUGUAUUUUUUUAGUAGAGACAAGGUUUUACCAUAUUGGCCAGGCUGGUCUCGAAGUGAUCCACCUUACCUCAAGUGAUCCACCAGCCUCAGCCUCCCAAAGUGCUGGGAUUACAAGUGUGAGCCAUUGUGCCCCGCCAACAUUACUUUUGAAGUCAGAAACAAUUAUAAAGGAAUUAAAUAAACAUACAAGGCCAAAACACAGUUUUGUAAAAUGUAGCAUUAGCUAAAAAGUAAAACAAGGAAAGCAAUCAUAGAUGAACUAGGAUUUGAGGUUUGUUUGGGGAGUAAGGACCAACUAAUGCUAAAAGUGGUAACUUAAAGGGUUACCCAGAAAGAAUUUUUUUUUCUGGAAAAGAAGUAAUUUCACUUUGAUAUUAAGGGCUUGGAUGCUAAUAACUAUUUUACGAAUAUUAUUUCCCUACUGUAGAGUUUGGGUAAACUGUCAAGAGGUGGGGGCAAUCUCUGGAAUUUAGAAAUAAAGGGGGCUGUUAUAGUGAUUCAUGGUUGGCACCCUUCACGCUCGAUCACAUUUCCAACCAGAGUUAAGAGGAACAUGAUGAGAGUGAAGGAAUUUCAUGAGUUAGAGCAGUGGUUCUCAAACUUUUCAGUUUCUUUACACGCUUAAAAAUUACUCUAGCUGGGUGCAGUGGCUCCCGCCUGUAAUCCCAGCACUUUGGGAGGCCCAGGCGGGCAAAUCACCUGAGGUCAGGAGUUCAAGACCAGCCUGACCAACAUGGUGAAACCCCAUC